rnacentral:rRNA from 1 species
CAUUCCAGAUUGAAUAUACCCGAUCUCGUCUGAUCUCGGAAGUCAAGCAAUCUCGGGCUAGGUUAGUACUUGGAUGGGUGACCGCUUGGGAAUACCAAGUGUGAUAAGCA